GACGAACGCUGGCGGCGUGCUUAACACAUGCAAGUCGAACGGGAGUAUUGAAGAAGCUUGCUUUAGAGAUACUUUAGUGGCGGACGGGUGAGUAACGCGUGAGGAGCUGUCCUAUGCAGGGGGACAACAGCUGGAAACGGCUGCUAAUACCCCAUAAGCCGAGAGGUAAAAGGAUCAAUCCGGCAGAGGAGGUACUCGCGUCCUAUCAGCUAGUAGGUGAGGUAACGGCUCACCUAGGCGAAGACGGGUAGCCGGCCUGAGAGGGCGAACGGCCAACGACUGGAACUGAGAUACGGUCCAGACUCCUACGGGAGGCAGCAGUGGGGAAUAUUGCGCAAUGGGGGCAACCCUGACCCAGCGACGCCGCGUGAGGGACGAAGGUUUUCGGAUCGUAAACCUCUGUUGUACGGGAAGAAGGAAUUGACGGUACCGUACGAGAAAGCCCCGGCAAACUACGUG
rnacentral:rRNA from 1 species